rnacentral:rRNA from 1 species
UACAGAGGGUGCGAGCGUUAAUCGGAAUUACUGGGCGUAAAGCGUGCGUAGACGGUUAUUUAAGUCGGGUGUGAAAGCCCCGGGCUCAACCUGGGAAUUGCAUUCGAGACUGAAUAGCUAGGGUACGGUAGAGGGAAGCGGAAUUUCCGGUGUAGCGGUGAAAUGCGUAGAUAUCGGAAGAACAUCAGUGGCGAAAGCGGCUUCCUGGAC